GACGAACGCUGGCGGCGUGCUUGACACAUGCAAGUCGAACGGAAAGGCCCUGCUUUUGUGGGGUGCUCGAGUGGCGAACGGGUGAGUAACACGUGAGUAACCUGCCCUUGACUUUGGGAUAACUUCAGGAAACUGGGGCUAAUACCGGAUAGGAGCUCCUGCUGCAUGGUGGGGGUUGGAAAGUUUCGGCGGUUGGGGAUGGACUCGCGGCUUAUCAGCUUGUUGGUGGGGUAGUGGCUUACCAAGGCUUUGACGGGUAGCCGGCCUGAGAGGGUGACCGGCCACAUUGGGACUGAGGUACGGCCCAGACUCCUACGGGAGGCAGCAGUGGGGAAUAUUGCACAAUGGGCGGAAGCCUGAUGCAGCAACGCCGCGUGCGGGAUGACGGCCUUCGGGUUGUAAACCGCUUUCGCCUGUGACGAAGCGUGAGUGACGGUAAUGGGUAAAGAAGCACCGGCUAACUACGUG
rnacentral:rRNA from 1 species